GCCUUCGUGAUGUAACGGUAGCACACUCGGCGAGUAUUCGGGAAGUCCAGGUUCGAAUCCAGGCAAGGGCA
rnacentral:tRNA from 1 species